rnacentral:misc_RNA from 1 species
GAAAUGCGAUAAUUAAUGUGAAUUGCAGAAUUCAGUGAAUCAUCGAGUCUUUGAACGCACAUUGCGCCCCCUGGUAUUCCGGGGGGCAUGCCUGUCCGAGCGUCAUUGCUGCCCUCAAGCACGGCUUGUGUGUUGGGCUUCCGUCCCUGGCAACGGGGACGGGCCCAAAAGGCAGUGGCGGCACCAUGUCUGGUCCUCGAGCGUAUGGGGCUUUGUCACCCGCUCCCGUAGGUCCAGCUGGCAGCUAGCCUCGCAACCAAUCUUUUUAACCAGGUUGACCUCGGAUCAGGUAGAGAUACCCGCUGAACUUAGGC